rnacentral:rRNA from 1 species
UACGAAGGGGGCUAGCGUUGCUCGGAAUUACUGGGCGUAAAGCGCACGUAGGCGGCUCUUUAAGUCGGAGGUGAAAUCCUGGAGCUCAACUCCAGAACUGCCUUCGAUACUGAAGAGCUCGAGUCCGGGAGAGGUGAGUGGAACUGCGAGUGUAGAGGUGAAAUUCGUAGAUAUUCGCAAGAACACCAGUGGCGAAGGCGGCUCACUGGCUCGAUACUGACGCUGAGGUGCGAAAGCGUGGGGAGCAAACAGG